AAGCGUUGUCCGGAUUUACUGGGCGUAAAGAGCGUGUAGGCGGCCACGCAGGUCCGUUGUGAAAACUGGAGGCUCAACCUUCAGACGUCGACGGAAACCGUGUGGCUAGAGUCCGGAAGAGGAGAGUGGAAUUCCUGGUGUAGCGGUGAAAUGCGCAGAUAUCAGGAAGAACACCAAUGGCGAAGGCAGCUCUCUGGGACGGUACUGACGCUGAGACGCGAAAGCGUGGGGAGCGAGCAGG
rnacentral:rRNA from 1 species